GGUGAGAUGGCCGAGCGGUCUAAGGCGCCAGACUAAGGAGCUUACGUAAUCUGGUCCGAAAGGGCGUGGGUUCGAAUCCCACUCUCAUCA
rnacentral:tRNA from 1 species